rnacentral:rRNA from 1 species
CGUCAGAUUUGAAACGGACUGGACGGGCACUUGCCGUUUACACGACUGCAAGUCGAACGGUAACAGGGAGCUUGCUCCGCUGACGAGUGGCGAACGGGUGAGUAAUAUAUCGGAACGUACCCAGUAGUGGGGGAGUAGCCCGGCGAAAGCCGGAUUAAUACCGCAUACGAUCUACGGAUGAAAGCGGGGGAUCGCAAGACCUCGCGCUAUUGGAGCGGCCGAUAUCUGAUUAGCUAGUUGGUGAGGUAAAGGCUCACCAAGGCUACGAUCAGUAGCUGGUCUGAGAGGACGACCAGCCACACUGGAACUGAGACACGGUCCAGACUCCUACGGGAGGCAGCAGUGGGGAAUUUUGGACAAUGGGCGAAAGCCUGAUCCAGCAAUGCCGCGUGAGUGAAGAAGGCCUUCGGGUUGUAAAGCUCUUUUGUCAGGGAAGAAACGGUAGAGGCUAAUAUCCUUUGCUAAUGACGGUACCUGAAGAAUAAGCACCGGCUAACUACGUG